rnacentral:snoRNA from 1 species
AUUGUCAGACUCUUUAUGAUGAAUAUUUGAUCACCAUCUUUCGGCUGA